CUGCAGCCCGAGUGGUGAUCGAUUUUAUUGAGCCUAAAGCGUCCGUAGCCGGACUAGUAAACCCUUGGGUAAAUUGGGCAGCUUAACUGUCCAAAUUCCGAGGGGACUGCUAGUCUUGGGACCGGGAGAGGUCAGAGGUACUCCAGGGGUAGGGGCUAAAUCCUGUAAUCCUUGGGGGACCACCAGUGGCGAAGGCGUCUGACUAGAACGGAUCCGACGGUAAGGGACGAAACACUGGGGCGCGAACCGGAUUAGAUACCCGAGUAGUCC
rnacentral:rRNA from 1 species